GGUCAGCUGACACAUCCCUGCCAAUCUCCAGCACACCCUCCCUCCCAGACCCUCCCACCUCCUGGACAGCAUCCAUGUUGAAGCUGCCUUCAACAUGGAUGUUGUCCAGGAAGUAGGAGGGUCUGGGAGGGAGGGUCUACCGGAGAUUGGCAGGGAUGUGUCAGCUG
rnacentral:miRNA from 1 species